UACGGAGGGUGCGAGCGUUGUCCGGAAUCACUGGGCGUAAAGGGCGCGUAGGCGGCUCGUGAAGUCAGUGGUGAAAGCCCAGGGCUCAACUCUGGGUCGGCCACUGAUACUCGCGAGCUCGAGUUUGGUAGAGGCAGAUGGAAUUCCGGGUGUAGCGGUGGAAUGCGUAGAUAUCAAGUGGAACACCAGUGGCGAAGGCGAGUCCCUGGACAUUUCCUGACGCUGAGGCACGAAAGCUAGGGGAGCAAACAGG
rnacentral:rRNA from 1 species